UACGUAGGGUGCGAGCGUUGUCCGGAAUUAUUGGGCGUAAAGAGCUUGUAGGCGGUUUGUCGCGUCUGCCGUGAAAUUUCGGGGCUCAACCCCGAACUUGCGGUGGGUACGGGCAGACUAGAGUGUGGUAGGGGAGACUGGAAUUCCUGGUGUAGCGGUGAAAUGCGCAGAUAUCAGGAGGAACACCGGUGGCGAAGGCGGGUCUCUGGGCCGUAACUGACGCUGAGGAGCGAAAGCAUGGGGAGCGAACAGG
rnacentral:rRNA from 1 species